GGGAUGCUUACUCUCUCUGGAUGUGGUUGUGGAUGUAAAGAAUCGGUUUCUCAACUCUUAAGUGCAUCCUAGCCAUCAUGAAAAGAUUCAAUUUGCAUGAGCUUAUAGCAUGACAUUCUUGGUAUUUGAUUGAAUAUGGUGCGACGAACUUGGGGCAUCAUUUUACUACGAUGGUGACCAUUUGGCAUGAUGGCACAUGGCUUCUUCUCCCUACAACUCUUUCUUCUCUCUUCAAGAUUCAAACUCGUAGGUACUGUGCAUCAGUAUGUAAGUCAUAUUUUGGAAGUUCGG
rnacentral:lncRNA from 1 species